AGUGAACGCUGGCGGCAGGCCUAACACAUGCAAGUCGAACGGCAGCACAGCAGUAGCAAUACUGUGGGUGGCGAGUGGCGGACGGGUGAGGAAUACAUCGGAAUCUGCCUUAUCGUGGGGGAUAACGUAGGGAAACUUACGCUAAUACCGCAUACGACCUACGGGUGAAAGCGGAGGACCUUCGGGCUUCGCGCGAUAAGAUGAGCCGAUGUCGGAUUAGCUAGUUGGCGGGGUAAAGGCCCACCAAGGCGACGAUCCGUAGCUGGUCUGAGAGGAUGAUCAGCCACACUGGAACUGAGACACGGUCCAGACUCCUACGGGAGGCUGCAGUGGGGAAUAUUGGACAAUGGGCGCAAGCCUGAUCCAGCCAUGCCGCGUGGGUGAAGAAGGCCUUCGGGUUGUAAAGCCCUUUUGUCCGGAAAGAAAAGCACUGGGUUAAUACCUCGGUGUUCUGACGGUACCGGAAGAAUAAGCACCGGCUAACUUCGUGCCAGCAGCCGCCGUAAUAC
rnacentral:rRNA from 1 species